rnacentral:misc_RNA from 1 species
UGAUAGAUAUAUUUAUGUAUACAUAUAUAGAUACUGAAAUAUUUUGAAGGUACUUGUGGCGUUUAUGUCUAUCAUUUUGUCCUUGCAUCUCAGCCCGGUAUCUUGUUUCCUAUAGGGGGUUGUUUCUGUUUCUGUUGUUAGAGGUGGAUGGGAUUCUGAGGAUCUGAAUGGCUUUAUUUACGUUGCACAAUUGAAAAUCAAAAAAUGACUCAUUUUACG